GGGCCUGUAGCUCAGCUGGGAGAGCGUUCGGUUCGCAUCCGAGAGGUCAAGGGUUCGAACCCCUCCAGGUCCACCA
rnacentral:tRNA from 2 species